GUGAAAUAUGAGUGCGUGUUGUGGAGUUUGUUGUGUGCUCUAGUGAGAUGAGGUCAAGUCACUCGAAAUGGUACACUGAGACCAACCUCGAGACGUGUGAGUUUCCAAGCGGACACACUAGGGACAGUUUUAACGGCUUUAUAAACUAUUGUUGAAAGUUAAUCGGAUUAAAGACUGGCUUCUAUAGUGUACAGGAAAAACAGUUUGGACGCCGUGAAUUAGCACGACUUACAAAGUGGAGAGGACAAGAUAGAUCUAACACUUGGGCCUCAAGUUCCCCAGAUGUUCCCUGCUGAACAUGAACAUCUUCUCCAGCCCCGAGCCAGACCUGUUGCGUCAUGUUCUAACUAGGAAAGUGCUAGUCUCAGACCUGCAGGAUCAACCACAGGCAAAUGACAAC